CAUACUCUCAUUUUUUAGUCUUUGUUCCUUCAUCAAAGUUGUAGAUCUCUUCGAGUUAUUGAAUUUAUGCUCAAAAAUUUCUUCAAUCGGAGUUCGGAGCUAGAAGUUAUGAUCUCUGGAAGUUGUAGUUGUUUGCUGCCACUGUUGCAGCGUUUUUCUCUCUCCUCUUCUUCGUGGAUGUUGCUGCCACCUGAUUUGUGGUGUUGUGGCUGUUGCAUGUUGUUGUUGUUGUCAGCGAAUUCUUUCUUUUGCUUCCGUCCCAUCGGUGCUGCUACUGUUUUCCGGUCCUCUUUGCCGGCGAGCUACCACCAUCGAUGUUGUGCGCAUCGUGUUGAUUGGCUGAAUUGAGUUCUUGUGUCUUGUUGUUUGUGAAUUCCAAAAUCAGGUAUAAAAAUUAAGUUUUCAUAUAUAUGAUUUCCUAAAGAUAUAAUUAUUGUUGUUUGAUUCAAUUCAAAUUGUUAAAGCUAAUCAUGAUUUAUGUUGGUAAACUUUUAUUUUACAUUAUAGCUUCCAAAUUACUUUGUUCUGUCAGGAAGUUUUAAGUAUAUUUGUAUACUUAUAAAAAAUAACCAGUUUUCAGAGAAGAUGACUUUAAUUCAGAAUAUAGUGGAACUAAUAAUCAAGAUGGAUAUCAUCUUCCAAACAAGUAACUUGCUGUGUUUUCUUUUCAAUGGAUUCAAGUGAGUUUUGUAAGAGCAAUUUGCUGAUCUUGUUACGAAAAUCAGAUAUGAUAAAAGUUUGUUUAACUUAAAGAUUAAAUCUUUCCUAUAUAUUUAAUGGGUUGGGUUGAGGUUUAUAAAUUGUAUUUAUAUUUCUUAAGUUAGUUUAUGAAAUCAAAUUAUCAUAAGCCAUGUUGUUUGAUAGUAUCCUCUGUGAAUUAGAAUGAGGUUAAUUGGAGUUAGAGAUUGAUAUAGUGAAUUGGAUUAGUAGAAUGGUUUGUAAAUAAGGAGUUGUGGGUAGUUCAUGAAAGAGGUUAGAAGGUAUGAGAAAGUUAAUUUCUUUAUCUAAUUGGUAGUAAGGAUGUUAAUUGUUGUUCAUAUUGUUGUGAGGUGAUUGUUGGAGAUUGAUAAAGAAUUUAGAGAUGUCAGACUCUUGAAGAUAUAAUGGAAUCGAGCGUUCUUUGGGGAAAUGAAGGAGUGAUCUUGCAGGUUCGUAUGUGGAAAGCUCGAAAUGGAGUAAAAGGAAGAAUUUAAGUAUCAAGGUUAUAAUGAGAUGUAAGGGUUCCGAAGUUGUAUUUGGGAUUAUUUAUCCUUAUUUAUGAAUAAAUUAUUAUAUUGCUUUAGAAGUCGAGCAAGGUAUUAUUGUAAUAUGUUAUUGGUUAUUGAGGAUGUGUUGUGGGCCCUGACCCACAGGUCCAGGAUCGUGUAUUGAAGGUUUUAUUCCGCUGCGAGUAAAUAAUUAAUUCGAGGCUAUUAAGUGUUAAUUGAGUUUUGUGAAUGUUAAGUAUGAUUAGCUAGCAGCACGGAAGUGCGGGCUGUUACAGGUGGUAUCAGAGCAUGGUUGUUUCGGAGUUGGCAUGAUCUUCAUAUCAUGGCAUAUGAGUUUAAGAAAGAUAUUUCGGAAUGUUUGCAAUUGAUUUGGGUUAUUAAUUGGCUGAAAAUUGAGGGAUUCGAAUUGAGAAAUUGAAGAUUGGGUGUUGUGAAAUUUGCAAAAGUAAAAAGUUGUAUUGGGUUUUAGAUUGGAGUGGUUAUAAGAGGAAGAUCGAAUUAUAUUGAUUGAGAUUGCAGAAAGUUAGGAAAUUUUUUUCUUCUGAGAUAUUAUAGUUCGUUAUUAGUUUUGAGCUAAUUUUUGAGAAAUGUUUUAUGCGAUGUAUUCGUUUUGGAAAUGAUCUAAUGUUUUACGUUUUUAAAUUUCGAGGACGAAAUUUAUUUUAAGGAUGGUAUAUUGUAACAACCCUUAUUUUUAAGUAAGUUUAAUAAAAGACUAAUUAAUUAUCUUAGUUUAAUUAUUAUAUUUUAAUAGUAGGAUGGAUUAUAAUAUUUAAAGACAAAAGGGAACACAAUUAUUAAAAUGGUAAAAUGAUGUUAUGGUAUAUGAUUUUAUGAUGUAUACCUUGAUUUUUUUUUAGAAAAAAAAUAAUAAUAAUAAAAGAGAAAGAGAACACUAUUAUUUCUCUAUAAUGUAUGUGGCUUAUGUUGAGAAUGCCACAUUAUUUCCUUGUUGUCAAAUUCUCACAAUUCUUCAUUAAAGAUAUAAAGAACUCAUACCCAAUUUCCUCCUUCUUCAUUCACUAUUAUAUCUCUCAAUCCCCUUCAACAGAAUAAAAGAAACCCCAAACCCCAAUUCAUUUUCUCUCUCUCAUUCACUGUCCUCCUUCUUCCUCUGUUCUGUCCGUCGAAUUCAAGCAAGAUGCACUCAUUUUUUAGUCUUUGUUCCUUCAUCAAAAAUGUAGAUCUCUUCGAGAUAUUGAAUUUAGACUAAAAAUUUCUUCAAUAGGAGUUCGGAGCUAGGAGUUAUGAUCUCUGGAAGUUGUAGUUGUUUGCUGCCACUGUUUCAGCGUUUUUUCUCUCUCCUCUUCUUCGUGGAUGCUGCUGCCACCUGAUUUGUUGGUGUUGUGGCUGUUGCAUGUUGUUGUUGUCAAAGAAUUCUUUCUUUUGCUUCUGUCCCAUCGGUGCUGCUACUGUUUUCCGGUCCUCUUCGCCGGCGAGCUACCACCAUCGAGGUUGUGCGCAUCGUGUUGAUUGGCUGAAUUGAGUUCUUGUGUCUUGUUGUUUGUGAAUUCCAAAAUCAGGUAUAACAAUUAAGUUUUCAUAAAUAUGAUUUCCUAAAGAUAUAAUUAUUGUUGUUUGAUUCAAUUCAAAUUGUUAAAGUUGAUCAUGAUUUAUGUUGGUAAACUUUUAUUUUACAUUGUAGCUUCCAAAUUACUUUGUUCUGUCAGGAAGUUUUAAGUAUAUUUGUAUACUUAUAAACAAUAACCAGUUUUAAGAGAAGAUGUUUUUAAUUCAGAAUAUAGUGGAACUAAUAAUCAAGAUGGAUAUCAUGUUCCAAACAAGUAACUUGCUGUGUUUUCUUUUCAAUGGAUUCAAGUGAGUUUUGUAAGAGCAAUUUGAUGAUCUUGUUACGAAAAUCAGAUAUGAUAAAAGUUUGUUCAACUUAAUGAUUAAAUCUUUCCUAUUUAUUUAAUGGGUUGGGUUGAGAUUUAUAAAUUGUAUUUAUAUUUCUUAAGUUAGUUUAUGAAAUCAAAUUAUCAUAAGCCAUGUUGUUUAACAGUAUCCUUUGUGAAUUAGAAUGAGGUUAAUUGGAGUUAGAGAUUGAUAUAGUGAAUUGGAUUAGUAGAAUGGUUUGUAAAUAAGGAGUUGUGGGUAGUUCAUGAAAGAGGUUAGAAGGUAUGAGAAAGUUAAUUUCUUUAUCUAAUUGGUAGUAAGGAUGUUGAUUGUUGUUCAUAUUGUUGUGAGGUGAUUGUUGGAGAUUGAUAAAGAAUUUGGAAAUGUUGGAACCUUGAAGAUUAUAAUGGAAUCGAGCGUUCUUUGGGGAAAUGAAGGAGAGUUCUUUGUUAGUGAUCUUGCAGGUUCGUAUGUGGAAAGCUCGAAAUGGAGUAAAAGGAAGAAUUUAAGUAUCAAGGUUAUAAUGAGAUGUAAGGGUUCCGAAGUUGUAUUUGGGAUUAUUUAUCCUUAUUUAUGAAUAAAUUAUUAUAUUGCUUUAGAAGUCGAGCAAGGUAUUAUUGUAAUAUGUUAUUGGUUAUUGAGGAUGUGUUGUGGGCCCUGACCCACAGGUCCAGGAUCGUGUAUUGAAGGUUUUAUUCCGCUGCGAGUAAAUAAUUAAUUCGAGGCUAUUAAGUGUUAA